UUGUUACUUGGCGAGAAUAUGAUCUUACAGACGGCUCUUGUCCUUUUACUGGUGUUCUUGGUGACUUCAUGGUUCUUCAGCAGACCUAAGAACCUUCCACCCGGUCCAAGAGGAUUUCCUGUCGUCGGUAAUAUCUUCUCUCUUGCAAUGGGCCCGGCUUUCUGACAAUGACCGAAUGGGCGAAAACGUACGGACCAGUCUACCGGAUACAGCUGGGGAAGGAAACGAUGAUUGUGCUUUCCGGAUAUGACGUCAUAUACGAGGCUCUGGUGAAGAGAGCAGACGAUUUUUCUAGCAGAUCAUCUAGCCCCAUAGUCAAACUUACCAACCCAAAGAAGCUAGGUAUCAUCUGGGCUCCUUUCGGUACUCCAUGGAAAGAGCACCGCAAAUUUACUCUGAUG